AGCAGUCGCCGCGGUAAUACGAAGGGGGCUAGCGUUGUUCGGAUUUACUGGGCGUAAAGGGCGCGUAGGCGGACUGAUAAGUCAGGGGUGAAAUCCUAAGGCUCAACCUUGGAACUGCCUUUGAUACUGUUUGUCUUGAGUUCGAGAGAGGUAAGUGGAACUGCGAGCGUAGAGGUGAAAUUCGUAGAUAUUCGCAAGAACACCAGUGGCGAAGGCGGCUUACUGGCUCGAAACUGACGCUGAGGCGCGAAAGCGUGGGGAGCAAACAGGAUUAGAUACCCCCGUAGUCCCUGUCUCUUAUAC
rnacentral:rRNA from 1 species